rnacentral:rRNA from 1 species
UACGGAGGGUGCAAGCGUUGUCCGGAAUCACUGGGCGUAAAGGGCGCGUAGGCGGCUCGGUAAGUAGGGGGUGAAAUCCUGCGGCUUAACCGCAGGGCUGCCUUCUAAACUGUCGAGCUCGAGCACGGUAGAGGCAGAUGGAAUUCCCGGUGUAGUGGUGAAAUGCGUAGAUAUCGGGAGGAACACCAGUGGCGAAGGCGGCUUCCUGGCCUGUUCUUGACGCUGAGGCGCGAAAGCUAGGGGAGCAAACGGG